rnacentral:lncRNA from 1 species
CAAAGAGCCAGGAGUUUCAGAGAUUCAAACUGGUCACACAGUGGAAAUGGCUAGUAAGUUCUGUUUUUAACAAUGUCUAAUACCGGCUGAGUGCUUAGUGUGCACUAUGCACCAGCAAGGGCAUUAUCUCUUUCACCCUCAUGCUUAUUCCUCACAGAAAUGAGGAAGUCGACUUCAUGCUGUUGCUUGCCAAGGAUUCCUGGCAUGUGCUGCAGUUGGGGUAACAGUCAGCUUACUCUACACAGAAGACAAAGGCAACGGACUGGAAAAGACCGACGAGAGGACACAUUGGAAUGAAGGCGAAAAAACACCAACACUGGCCAGAGAUGAGAGGCAGACAGGCAUGAAGCAGUUAAACAAACAAGACAGCUUGAAUUGGAG